ensembl:lncRNA
CCGCCGUGCGGCCUCAACCUACAUCGGCAACUCCAAAUAACUGCGAGAGAAUGAACGUCUGUCCAAACUGAGGCCUGAAAGUAAUCAUCAUGCUCUUUGUAAUCAUCGUUUAGUAUAGUCUCUGGAGGAAGUCUUUCAGUCGCCCUUCACCUCGCUGUGGGUCCCGAUCAGCCCGCGUGUCGUCUGUCAAAUCUCCACACGGGAGAAGAAAAAGACUCAGGAUGAGGGAGAGACGCAUCUGAAUCCAUUCCCCGGCACACAUUCUCUGAGACUGUGGCAGGGCCGCUUGACUGUUACUGGGGAAACAGAUGAUGAGAGAGCGCGAUGACGAACCCACCGGGGACUGAAGAGGUGCGUUCAGCUGACAGCGAAAGUGGCCCACUUCAUUCAUCUCCACCAAUG